rnacentral:misc_RNA from 1 species
GAUGAAGAACGUAGCGAAAUGCGAUAAGUAAUGUGAAUUGCAGAAUUCAGUGAAUCAUCGAAUCUUUGAACGCACAUUGCUCCCGCUGGUAUUCCGGCGGGCAUGCCUGUUCGAGCGUCAUUUCAACCCUCAAGCUCUCCGGAGUUUGGUGUUGGGGCGCCUGGGGCUUUUCGACCUCAGGGCCCUCAAGUCCAUCGGCGGGACCGCCAGGACACUGAGCGCAGUAGUAUUAUUUCGCUCGGUAGGAUCUUCCACGGCGGGUCGAUCUGGCCGCUAAACCCCCCAAUUCUCACCAAAGGUUGACCUCGGAUCAGGUAGGAAUACCCGCUGAACUUAAGCAUAUCAAUAAGCGGAGGA